GUUGGGUGUGGUGGUGCACACCUGUAAUCCCAGUUACUUGGAAGGCUAAGGCAGAAGGAUCGCCAAGUUCAAGGCCAGUCUGGACAACUUAGAGAGACCCUGUCUUAC
rnacentral:sRNA from 1 species